AGAGUUUGAUCAUGGCUCAGAUUGAACGCUGGCGGCAGGCCUAACACAUGCAAGUCGAGCGGUAGCACAGAGAGCUUGCUCUCGGGUGACGAGCGGCGGACGGGUGAGUAAUGUCUGGGAAACUGCCUGAUGGAGGGGGAUAACUACUGGAAACGGUAGCUAAUACCGCAUAACGUCGCAAGACCAAAGUGGGGGACCUUCGGGCCUCAUGCCAUCAGAUGUGCCCAGAUGGGAUUAGCUAGUAGGUGGGGUAACGGCUCACCUAGGCGACGAUCCCUAGCUGGUCUGAGAGGAUGACCAGCCACACUGGAACUGAGACACGGUCCAGACUCCUACGGGAGGCAGCAGUGGGGAAUAUUGCACAAUGGGCGCAAGCCUGAUGCAGCCAUGCCGCGUGUGUGAAGAAGGCCUUCGGGUUGUAAAGCACUUUCAGCGGGGAGGAAGGCGUUAAGGUUAAUAACCUUGGCGAUUGACGUUACCCGCAGAAGAAGCACCGGCUAACUCCGUGCCAGCAGCCGCGGUAAUACGGAGGGUGCAAGCGUUAAUCGGAAUUACUGGGCGUAAAGCGCACGCAGGCGGUCUGUCAAGUCGGAUGUGAAAUCCCCGGGCUCAACCUGGGAACUGCAUUCGAAACUGGCAGGCUAGAGUCUUGUAGAGGGGGGUAGAAUUCCAGGUGUAGCGGUGAAAUGCGUAGAGAUCUGGAGGAAUACCGGUGGCGAAGGCGGCCCCCUGGACAAAGACUGACGCUCAGGUGCGAAAGCGUGGGGAGCAAACAGGAUUAGAUACCCUGGUAGUCCACGCCGUAAACGAUGUCGAUUUGGAGGUUGUGCCCUUGAGGCGUGGCUUCCGGAGCUAACGCGUUAAAUCGACCGCCUGGGGAGUACGGCCGCAAGGUUAAAACUCAAAUGAAUUGACGGGGGCCCGCACAAGCGGUGGAGCAUGUGGUUUAAUUCGAUGCAACGCGAAGAACCUUACCUGGUCUUGACAUCCACAGAACUUNUUGGUGCCUUCGGGAACUGUGAGACAGGUGCUGCAUGGCUGUCGUCAGCUCGUGUUGUGAAAUGUUGGGUUAAGUCCCGCAACGAGCGCAACCCUUAUCCUUUGUUGCCAGCGGUUAGGCCGGGAACUCAAAGGAGACUGCCAGUGAUAAACUGGAGGAAGGUGGGGAUGACGUCAAGUCAUCAUGGCCCUUACGACCAGGGCUACACACGUGCUACAAUGGCAUAUACAAAGAGAAGCGACCUCGCGAGAGCAAGCGGACCUCAUAAAGUAUGUCGUAGUCCGGAUUGGAGUCUGCAACUCGACUCCAUGAAGUCGGAAUCGCUAGUAAUCGUAGAUCAGAAUGCUACGGUGAAUACGUUCCCGGGCCUUGUACACACCGCCCGUCACACCAUGGGAGUGGGUUGCAAAAGAAGUAGGUAGCUUAACCUUCGGGAGGGCGCUUACCACUUUGUGAUUCAUGACUGGGGUGAAGUCGUAACAAGGUAACCGUAGGGGAACCUGCGGUUGGAUCACCU
rnacentral:rRNA from 1 species